AAGUCGCCAUGAUGAUAAGUCACCACCAGUUCCUCACUGCUGUUCUUGUCCUACUUUUGUUUGGGAAAAGUAGUCAAAUAAUGUGUCCUUCUCAGCCUGACUUGGAACCCCUUUGCCUUACUAAGUGCGACUUAAGCAAUAGUAGGGUUCCAGGGCAUUGCAAAAUCUUUGUUCAAAGAUUAAACAAGAUUCUAAAUGAUAAUUGCAAAGAAAGAACUAAAAGGGUCAAACCAUGGGAAUAAGAGAUAAAGAACAUGGUUCCACACUGAUACCUUGCAGUCUAACAUAAAAAUGCAUACAUAUGUAAGUGGUGUGCUGAGAUAUGGUCCGCGACUCCAGAAAGGGGUUGAUAAAUAGGUUUAAAUACCAAAGAUUUUAAAUGUUCAUGUAUUUUUCUUGUAAGAAAUAUUUUAUGAAAUAAAUCAGCUUGGGAAACGAACUCAUUGGAGUAACACCCAUAAUUUCUUGGGCUCCUCUUGAAACGAAUGGAAAGAAGACUAAUGAAGAGUCACGGCAAGCUUUAGCAUCAAUAAAACGUUGAAGAAGUUUAAAAACCGUAACUAAAUAGUUUUUCACAGUCUGAGGGUAUUAUAAUAAUUGAAAAAAUUGUUUAAUGCCUAUUGUUGUUAAGACAAGAUGUUAAUUCGCCAAUAGUUUGUCAUUGCGGCUUUUGUUCUACUUUUGUUAGACUUUUGCCAAGGAUUUCGUUUGAGACGUUGUGAAGAUGGACUUUGUUUGCCAAAAAAUGUGAAAUGCAGGCGACCUAUAACGUUGGUUGAGCCCAUUUGUAAGAAGAAAGACAAAUGUUGCAGCCAAAUUACAUACAAAUAAUAUUAAACUAAAACAAUGUCCUUGAAACGACAUUGUCGUUUGAAACUAAUGGAAUGUAGACUAAUGAAGAGUCACGGCAAGCUUUAGCAUCAAUAAAACGUUCAAGAAGUUAAAAAACCGUAA